GCUCACCUCGGAAGAGGCAGGCAGCCUAGCUGGUCGGUGGCUACUGGUGUUGAACAGUUAAAUGUGUCUCCUGAGGCCAUGCACGUGGAAAGCCACCGAGAAGAUCAAUCCAUCUUGUGCACUGGUGAAUCAGGAGCUGGCAAGACGGAGAACACCAAGAAGGUCAUCCAGUAUCUGGCGUACGUGGCGUCCUCGCACAAGAGCAAGAAGGACCAGGGCGAGCUGGAGCGGCAGCUGCUGCAGGCCAACCCCAUCCUGGAGGCCUUCGGGAACGCCAAGACCGUGAAGAAUGACAAUUCCUCCCGCUUCGGCAAAUUCAUUCGCAUCAACUUUGAUGUCAAUGGCUACAUCGUUGGAGCCAACAUUGAGACUUAUCUUUUGGAGAAAUCUCGUGCUAUCCGCCAAGCCAAGGAAGAACGGACCUUCCACAUCUUCUAUUAUCUCCUGUCUGGGGCUGGAGAGCACCUGAAGACUGAUCUCCUGUUGGAGCCGUACAACAAAUACCGCUUCCUGUCCAAUGGACACGUCACCAUCCCUGGGCAGCAGGACAAGGACAUGUUCC
rnacentral:sRNA from 1 species